rnacentral:rRNA from 1 species
CGGAGGAUCCAAGCGUUAUCCGGAAUCAUUGGGUUUAAAGGGUCCGGUAGGCGGUUAGUAAGUCAGUGGUGAAAGACCCAUCGCUCAACGGUGGGAACGGCCAUUGAUACUGCUAGACUUGAAUUAUUAGGAAGUAACUAGAAUAUGUAGUGUAGCGGUGAAAUGCUUAGAGAUUACAUGGAAUACCAAUUGCGAAGGCAGGUUACUACUAAUGGAUUGACGCUGAUGGACGAAAGACGUGGGGAGGCGAACAGGAUU